UUGAACGCUGGCGGAAUGCUUUACACAUGCAAGUCGGGCGGCAGCGCGGGGGCAACCCUGGCGGCGAGCGGCGAACGGGUGAGUAACAUAUCGGAACGUACCCAGACGUGGGGGACAACUAGUCGAAAGACUAGCUAAUACCGCAUACGUCCUGAGGGAGAAAGCGGGGGAUCGCAAGACCUCGCGCGUUUGGAGCGGCCGAUAUCUGAUUAGCUAGAUGGUGGGGUAAAGGCCCACCAUGGCGACGAUCAGUAGCUGGUCUGAGAGGAUGAUCAGCCACACUGGAACUGAGACACGGUCCAGACUCCUACGGGAGGCAGCAGUGGGGAAUUUUGGACAAUGGGGGAAACCCUGAUCCAGCCAUUCCGCGUGAGUGAAGAAGGCCUUCGGGUUGUAAAGCUCUUUCAGACGGAAAGAAAUCGUGCAGAUUAAUACUCUGUAUGGAUGACGGUACCGUAAGAAGAAGCACCGGCUAACUACGU
rnacentral:rRNA from 1 species